AUUGAACGCUGGCGGCAUGCUUUACACAUGCAAGUCGAACGGUAACAGGUUAAGCUGACGAGUGGCGAACGGGUGAGUAAUGCAUCGGAACGUGCCCGAUCGUGGGGGAUAACGCAGCGAAAGCUGCGCUAAUACCGCAUACGAUCUGAGGAUGAAAGCGGGGGACCGUAAGGCCUCGCGCGAUCGGAGCGGCCGAUGGCAGAUUAGGUAGUUGGUGGGGUAAAGGCGCACCAAGCCGACGAUCUGUAGCUGGUCUGAGAGGACGACCAGCCACACUGGGACUGAGACACGGCCCAGACUCCUACGGGAGGCAGCAGUGGGGAAUUUUGGACAAUGGGCGAAAGCCUGAUCCAGCAAUGCCGCGUGCAGGAAGAAGGCCUUCGGGUUGUAAACUGCUUUUGUACGGAGCGAAAAGGCUCUCUCUAAUACAGGGGGCUCAUGACGGUACCGUAAGAAUAAGCACCGGCUAACUACGUGCCAGCAGCAGCCGCCGUAA
rnacentral:rRNA from 1 species